AGCUGGUCUCAGUCACAUUAGCAAGCGAAUGCACAGCUGGAGGAGGUAAGCCGUGGAAUUGAAGCAGCAGUGGAUGUGUGAAAUAUGGUCAGUGGGGAUGCAGUGUGCAUACAUCAAAUCUGUAUACUCUGUGUGUUGCUGUGUACAGUGUUGUAAACAUGACAAGAGGAGUCUAAAAAUGCAGCAUUCGUUGUGAAAUAUGUUGCAGAGAGUGAAUGAGGCAUACUGUGUUAAGCAUUGUGUUUGGUGGUGACUCAAGCAAUAGUAUGCAUUGUGUGUAGUGUAGUUAGUCUGGUUUAAUUCCACGGUAUGCUUGUCAUUCCCACUAGUUAUUGCAGUGUGUGGUUUUUGUCACUGUGAAGCUACAGUGUUGUGUACUUAGUGAUUAUGAUGAUCUGAUGUGUGUGUGUGUGUGUGUGUAUAUAUAUAUAUAUAUAUAUAUAUAUACUGUAUAAUUUAUUUUAUAUAUAAGAUUAGCAUUAAAUGGCUUUCAAGUAAAGUCUACAUGUGUGCUUUUUACACAAUUUUUGAGGGUUUAAAAAUUGAAAUAUAAUAUAUGAAUUCUUAGGCACACAUACAUUAGAUUUUCACUAUGCUUCAGUAUGUUUAUACAAAGACAUAAAGCUCCACCAUCAUUCGGUUAUUUAGGGUGCAAUGUGUGUUUUAUUCAAUCAUCCCAAAUGACAGGCAACGUUUCGACACAAUGUGUGUCUUUAUCAAGCAGGGGCUUUUACUCACGGCACAGGUACCAAAAAUCUUUGAGCUUGAAUAGUGCCCCUCUUAUGCACUUAGUUUCAGUAUGUUUAUAUGUAGUUUGUUUACAUUGUGUGCAAUGAGAAUGUAUUUGUUGUGUGCGGACUGUGCACACAACAUGUUUCAGAAUGCAUGGCGAGAAUAUAUGCAGUGUUUGUAUAGAUUGUUUAUUUUCAAUGUUGUGCAAUCUUCAUAUUUGCAGUACUAGUUCACUGAGAAACACAGGCAAUGUACAGAGUGUGAGUAUUUUUUAUGUUGCUUUCAGUGCAGUACAAAUAUACCUUCUGUGUAGAGUAUGCACACUAAGACUGUAUCUACCAUGUGCAAUGUGUGUCUGGAUAGUAUAUGUUCAAUGUGUACAGGAUACAUGGGCAGCAUAUGUGUACUUUUAUAGUGUAUUUAUGAGCAUAAACUGAGAGUGAAAUGUAUUUGUAGUGUGCCAUAUGCAUCAUAAACGUGUUUGCAGUGUGUCCUGUGUACUUGGCACUUUGUGUGAGUAGUGCUGCACUUUGGGUAUGGAAUUUAACUGUUCAAUUAAUUGGGUUCCAUAAAGAAGAACAAUUUUUGCGAUUGGAGAAUAGGGGGAUAGAAUUUCAGAUAGAAUAAGGAAGGCAUUUCCAUUGGGAAAAUGAAAGAAUCCAUGGAAAGUAUACUUACAGUGUAACAUGUGUACACGGUUGGUGUAUAUGCAAUGCAGAGUGUCAAUACGUGUGAAGAUUGUGCAUGCAGCAUACCUGCCAAGUGUCCCUACUUAGGACGAACAGUCCCUAUUUUGGGGCCAAAUCCCCUGUCCCUUUUUUCUAUUCUAAUCUUCCUCUCUUCUAGGAAUUCCAGGGCCGUCUUUAACGGGGGGCAAAUCGGGCAGCUGGCCCGGGCUUGAUAUUCCUGGGGGGCCCAAAGCAGCUGCCUCGUGGGCCCACUGCCCUUAACAAUUUAUUUUUUUACCCCCAUGUCCCCACCAGUGCUGGUUGUUUGGCUGCACUGGGGCCUCCAUACUAGGAGGUCCUAUCGGGUAAGCCAUGCACUUAAUGCCACCCUGUGGGCAUUUGUCAGCAGGGGCCCGGUCUGAGCUGUGGCCCUUUAACAGUGCACUCGGGCCCCCUUCCUAUCGGCAGCCAUGGAGGAAGUGGCAGCCAGUCACUUCCUCCCAGAGAAACCAUAGCCAUGUGGAAGGGGGAGGAGUCAGCGAAGAAGGUGAAGGGCCUGGAGCACCAGAGACUAACUCCCAACAGCCUCAACCAGCACAGUGGACCCAAGGGAAGCCACCCUCCCGCAAAAAGGUCAGAAACUGGAGGGUGGCUAUAAAAGUCAGUCUGUCUGUCUGUGUAUCUGUCUGUGCGUGUGUCAGUAUGUCUGUCAGUGUAUGUAUCUGUGUGUGUCAGAAUGUCUGUCAGUAUAUGGAUCUGUGCGUGUGUCAGAAUGUCUGUCAGUGAAUGUGUCUGUAUGUGUCAGUAUGUUUGUCAGUGUUUGUAUCUAUGUGUGUCAGUAAACAUUCAGUAUGUCUAUCAGUGUAUGUGUCUGUGUGUGUAAGUAUACCUGUCAUUGUAUGUAUCUGUGUGUGUGUCAGUAUGUCUGUCAGUGUAUGUGUCUGUGUCAGUAUUUCUGUUGGUGUAUGUUUUUGUGUGUGUGACAGUAUGUCUGUCAGUCUAUUUGCCUGCGUGUGUCAAUAUGUCUGUCAGUAUAUGUGUCUGUGUAUCUGUAUGUAUCUUUAUGGUGUCAUGGUGUAUAUCUAUGUAUCUGUAUGUUGUCAAUGUGUAUCUGUAUGUUGUCAAUGUGUAUCUGUGUGUGUAUGUGUCAGUGUGUAUAUCCGUAUGUAUGUCUGUGUAUCUGUAUGUAGUCAGUGUGUGUAUCUGUGUGUCUGAGUAUCUGCAUGUGAGUCAGUGUUUGUAUCUGUAUGUCUUUAUAUCUACAUGUGUGUCAGGUUGUGUAUCUGUUUGUCUGUAUAUGUGUCAGUGUGUGUAUCUGUAUAUGUAUAUGAAUGUGUGUCAGUGUGUGUAUAUAAGUCUUUAUAUCUGUAUGUGUUUCAGUGCGUAUAUAUGUGUAUCUGCAUGUGAUUCAGUGUGUGUGUGUGUAUCUGUGUGGGUGUAUGUGUUUUUUAACAGUGUGUGUGGCAGUGUAUGUGUAUAUGUGCAUACAUCUCCGCAUUCGAAACACCAACACUACACACAAAUACACCUAUGCAUUUAAACUUCAGCAAGUCUUUUAUUAGAAACAUAGAAACAUAGAAUGUGACGGCAGAUAAGAACCAUUCGGCCCAUCUAGUCUGCCCAAUUUUCUAAAAACUUUCAUUAGUCCCUAGCCUUAUCUUAUAGUUAGGAUAGCCUUAUGCCUAUCCCAUGCAUGCUUAAACUCCUUUACUGUGUUAACCUCUACCACUUCAGCUGGAAGGCUAUUCCAUGCAUCCACUACCCUCUCAGUAAAGUAAUACUUCCUGAUAUUAUUUUUAAACCUUUGUCCCUCUAAUUUAAGACUAUGUCCUCUUGUUGUGGUAGUUUUUCUUCUUUUAAAUAUAGUCUCCUCCUUUACUGUGUUGAUUCCCUUUAUAUAUUUAAAUGUUUCUAUCAUGUCCCCCCUGUUAUUGAAACUACAUACAAACACAGUCUUGAAUUAAAACGUCAACACUACAUACAAACACACCUCUGCAUUAACCCCUUAAAGGACCACUCUAGGCACCCAGACCACUUCAGCUUAAUGAAGUGGUCUGGGUGCCAGGUCCCUCUAGGAUUAACCCCUUUUUUUUUUAUAAACAUAGCAGUUUCAGAGAAACAGCUAUGUUUAUAAAUGGGUUAAUCCAGCCUCCAAAUCCUCUAGUGGCUGUCUCAUUGACAGCCGCUAGAGGCGCUUGCGUGCUUCUCACUGUGAAAAGUGUAAAUGCUUUCCUAUGAGACAGGCUGAAUGCGCGCGCAGCUCUUGCCGCGCAUGCGCAUUCAGCCCAGGAGGAGGAUCGGAGGCGGAGAGGAGGAGGAGAGCUCCCCGCCUGGGGUGGGGGCACCCUCAGCGCACUAUAGUGCCAGGAAAACGAGUAUGUUUUUCUGGCACUAUAGUGGUCCUUUAAGGACACAUGACAUGUGUGACAUGUCAUGAUUCCCUUUUAUUCCAGAUGUUUGGUCCUUAAGGGGUUAAACACCAAAAGUGUAUAUACAUAUACCUCUGCAUUCAAAAACCAACACUACACAUAAAAACAUGCUAACAUUCAAACACACAAAGACUGCUCAGGGCUAAAUGAAUAUGUUUAGAAAUCAGUCUGUGUAAAUAAGAUACAUUGUUCUUCUAAAUUACAUUUUUGUUGCUAAAAUAUCGGUAAAUUAAAACAAAUUACUCAUAACAGCCACGCCACUUGCCACACUCCCAAAAUUAGACUGUCCCACUUUGUCCAUUAGAAAUGUUGGCAGGUAUGCAUGUAGAGCGCAAUUGAACAGUGCAAUUGAAGCAGGAAGGGGGGUACAUUGAGAAGGGGAACAUGCAGUGUAUGUGUGGAGAAUGUGUGUACGAUGAAUAAAUUCAACGUGUAUAUGUAGUGAGCAUGCAUGUUGUAUCAGCGGCGUAUGUGAUGAGUCUAAUCUUUUGUCUAAUCUUUGUAUUUUGUUCCAGGUUUUUUAGAUCCUAAAAGACAACUGGAAAAAUUACCCCACCUGGUGUUGAUGGGUGCUCACACUGGCAUGGGAGGAAUGGAGUAAACUGAUAUGCAUAGGGAAGAGAACAAAGAGAGAGUGCCUAACAAAAUAUAAAUUAAUUCAUUAGAAGAAAAUACAAAGUUGCAUUCAUAAUAAAAACAGGUGUAAAAGAAGGUGAGGUAGGAAG
rnacentral:lncRNA from 1 species